AAGUUAAAGAAUUGUGGUUUUAGAAUUUGGGGUUUGGAAUGGAAAGAAUAGAUUGAGGUUAAAGGGAAGAUGAGUUUGGGGUUUGGAAUAUAUGAAGUAGAAGAUAAGGAAGAUGGGGUUUGGGGUUUCGGAUUUUAGGGAUUUAAACAUAAUCCUCGUAAAAUAACGAGGAAGUAACGACGAAAUUAAAAACUAAAGAACGCGGGACUCGUUAAUUCCACGUAACCAGAAAUCGUCGUAAAGACCUUGUAACCGGAAAAAGUGGGCCUUGCUAUUUCCUCGUAAAUGAAAAAGCGGGCAUCGCUAAUUCCUCGUAAAUGAAUGACCAAUUAGGGACUACCAUUGUAAUAUUUGAAAAAAGAAGAGAAGAAAGAUACUGGAAUCACAGGUGGGAAGAAACA
rnacentral:lncRNA from 1 species